rnacentral:lncRNA from 1 species
CCUGUAAUUCCAGCUACUUGGGAGGCUGAGGCAGGAGAAUCGCUGGAACCUGAAAGACAGAGAUUGCAGCGAGCCGACAUCACACCACUGCACUCCAACUGGGGCGACAGAGCGAGACUCCAUCUCAAAAAAAAGAAAAAAGAAUGGGACACACUACUCCUUAGGCAACAGUGUUGGGUUCAUGUUUAUAGAUGAUGGAAUGAAGCAGCGGGGGACAACUUCUGGCUGGAGUGGCUUGGAGGCUGGAGCAGCUGAGCUUUAACAAGCAUCAGAGGUCAGAAUUACUUGGCUAGAUCAAGAAGCCACACAGCAUCAUAAUGCCGCUGGCACAUCUCCCAGAACAGGGAUUCUGGGGCCAACAGUGAAUAAACCUGGUAAAAGGACACGAAUUCUGAGGUAAGCCCCCAACCUACUUUCCAGACUUCUCUCUGAAUCAUAUUAUCAAUACAUAUGUAGACGACACUCUGUUCCUCACAUUUCAUUUCCUCCCAGACACAAGCCACCCAGCACACUUCACCAUAAGACUGUCCAAUUUGGAAUAGAUCUAGUCAAAUGAACGCUAUUAUAGCUCCCUACACUUUAAACACAUCCUUACGCAACUCUAAUACAGUUUGUUUGACACAUCACCAGGCCCUGAUGAAGGUGCUC